CUGAGGCAGCUAUCUCUGUGUCUGGUGCUCAAGCUUGAAGUUCACAGGGAGGGCAGCUGGAAGGGAAGAAGGUUAUAAAAUGGGAGAGAACAAGAAGAAGCCGGAACCCACAAUUGCAAGAUGGAGCCUGCAAGAAGAGACUGAAACUCAGCUUCCUUCUUACUGCUCCCGUCCUUGAUGGUGUGCCCUACGGAAGCUGGGGCGUUCAUGGAACAGAAGUCAGAGACUGAAGGAGGAUUCCAGGAAGGGUAGACCAGCAGCAUGCCUGGCUGGCCUGGAGGUGCAGCCGUGGACUACUGUUGACAGAAGGUCAUGGAAACCUUGGAAAGAAGAACCAUGGUUGUGAGGAAGAUUGUAUAUUUUCACCAGAAGUCAGGGAGGAAGAUGAAGAGGGAAAAAGAAGGUGCGCUCAAAACCUCUGAUUUACAUUGGGGACAGUGAGCCUUGUUGGUGGGACGUGACUAGGUGACGGGUUGGGAGGCCAUGUGGGGCAGCCUUCUGCCAACUUUGGGUGUACGCUCUUGGAAUCUAGGACAGUCUUCUUUUGCUUACUCACCUUCUGUCCAAGCUCAGCAGCUAGCAGAAGAGCAUGGGCCCGUCCUGGAGGUCACUGUGCAGUCACACGGGAUGCCUGCCCUUCUGCCUCAUUCAAAAUAGCAACCUACAAACUACCCCUUGUCAACAUCUUUAAGGAUCGCUUUCUCCAGAGUGGCAGAUGCCAUCUGUAAUGGGAUGAGUAGAAUCUUCCCAAAAUUCACAUGUGGGAAGUCCUGAGCUUCAGGACCUCAGAAUGGGACUGUUUUGAAGAGAGGAUUUUGAAAGAGGUCAUUAAGGUAAAAUGAAGUCAUAUGGAUGGACCCUAAUCCAGUAUGACUGGUGUCUUCACAAGAAGAGGAGAUUAGGAUACAGACACACACAGAAGGACAACCAUGUGAGGACACAGGGAGAAGAUGGCCAUCUGUAAGCCAAGGAGAGAGGCCCCAAGGGAAACAACCCUGUGAUACCUUGAUCUCAGACUUCCAGCCUCAAGAGCUGUGGUGGAUCAGGUUCUGUGGAAACAGCCUCUCUGUGCAACUUUGUUAUGGCGGCCUGAACUGGUCAAUGUACCAUCUGAGGUUGUACAAAGGCAUUUCCUUGAGCCCAAAGCAGAGGACUUGAAGCCCAGGGCUGCUUUGCCCUGGUCUCCUGGAACCAUCAUUUAAAUGUGGUCACUUCCCUACUUGCUCCUCUCCACGCAGAAGAAUAAAACCUGUAUCCUUUGGCCUGGCUGAUGUGACUGAGACCCUCUCGUUCCCUCCACUUGAAUAUUGUCCUCACUGCUCUUUGUCUCCUGUGCUCCAGAUUCAGCCUUUUCCUGUCCCUCAAAUGUUCCUGAUGCCUUGAGGCUGCUGCCUUUGCUGCCCCUGGUGUGAAACAUGAAUCCUUGCAUGUCCCCUGAGCUCCUGAUGCAAGUCUGCUCCAAUGUCAGCCCUGCCCUUGGAAAGGUUUUCCCACAUAAGGACACUGAGUCGCACCCCUACUCAUUCCUGAGCAGAUCUCACCGUCAUUUGCUGUUACCUUUUCUAUUUAUUUCUUUGCUUCCAUCCCCCCAACUACAGGCUCUGCUUCCUGACUCAGUGCUCUGUCAGCAAGAACAAUGGGACAAUUUCUGAUAGGUAUUGCUGAGUCGUCCUCUGGAGAUUAUACCCAUUUGCCCUUCCAAUAGCAUACUUUGGAGUAUGCCUGUGUUCUCCAACCUUUGCAAGGACUGCUGGAUCGUCCUCAUGUCAGGUUCCCAUAGCUGUCUCAUGCCACAGCCUUGGGUCACCAUUCCCCAUCUUUGUUGGUUCUUGGUCGCCCUCUGCAUCAAGUCCUAACUCAGUGUCCAAUCUGCUCAUUCCCUCCUACCCCUCUUCAAAAUCACUCCAUCAUCCUCCCACUUCCAUCCCAAUUUCUGCAGGAAGCAGUGACUUUGAAUUUCUCAGAAGGAAUCAGCUAACUUUAAGGUGCUGUGACUUGAUAACCUCAGCUGUCCACCUGCUUCUUAGGAACAGCACGUGUUCCAAAUUUCCUGUGUUUUCUGCUUUCAUCUUUACAGUAACCAAGGAGAAGUUACAACAUUUCCUAUUUUGCACUUGGAAGUCAGAGAGCUACCGAAUGCAUGAACAGGAUGGGAAUAUAUUCCCUUCUGUGCACUUAUGACUUCAUUCGCCCCAGUACGUGGGAUGCACUGUGCAAACCAAGGAUGCAAUUUAAAACAGGACCACCAGUCUCUGACCUGUGCAGUUGGAGUAGGGAGCACCAA